rnacentral:rRNA from 1 species
AGUGAACGCUGGCGGCAGGCCUAACACAUGCAAGUCGAACGGUAACAGGAAGAAGCUUGCUUCUUUGCUGACGAGUGGCGGACGGGUGAGUAAUGUCUGGGAAACUGCCUGAUGGAGGGGGAUAACUACUGGAAACGGUAGCUAAUACCGCAUAACGUCGCAAGACCAAAGAGGGGGACCUUCGGGCCUCUUGCCAUCAGAUGUGCCCAGAUGGGAUUAGCUAGUAGGUGGGGUAAUGGCUCACCUAGGCGACGAUCCCUAGCUGGUCUGAGAGGAUGACCGGCCACACUGGAACUGAGACACGGUCCAGACUCCUACGGGAGGCAGCAGUGGGGAAUAUUGCACAAUGGGCGCAAGCCUGAUGCAGCCAUGCCGCGUGUAUGAAGAAGGCCUUCGGGUUGUAAAGUACUUUCAGCGGGGAGGAAGGUGUUGUGGUUAAUAACCGCAGCAAUUGACGUUACCCGCAGAAGAAGCACCGGCUAACUCCGUGCCAGCCGCCGCGGUAA